UAAAUAAGCUAGGGGUGCCUUUUAGGCUGAGAGAUAUAUUUAAAUAUUAACCCUUGAACCUGUAUGGAUAAUGCCAGCGAAGGGAAGCAAAUCUAAAAUUAG
rnacentral:ncRNA from 2 species